rnacentral:rRNA from 1 species
UACGUAGGGGGCUAGCGUUGUCCGGAUUUAUUGGGCGUAAAGAGCGUGUAGGCGGCCAGGUAGGUCCGGUGUGAAAACUCGAGGCUUAACCUCGAGAUGUCAUCGGAAACCAUCUGGCUAGAGUCCGGAAGAGGAAAGUGGAAUUCCUGGUGUAGCGGUGAAAUGCGCAGAUAUCAGGAAGAACACCAAUGGCGAAAGCAGCUUUCUGGGACGGUACUGACGCUGAGACGCGAAAGCGUGGGGAGCGAACAGA